GUGGCGAAUAACAGGAGCCUCGGGACAC
rnacentral:sRNA from 1 species